ensembl:lncRNA
GCUAGGCAGUUGGAGAAGACAAGUCCUCUGAGUGACACUAAUGCUAGACACAUUGCUACACUAACAUCAAUACAACAUUGUCUUGUGUAUAGGGAACACAAUGUUUACUUGCUAUUAUAUGUGGACAACAUAACUCCCAAUGGAAUUUGAACAAUCCCAAAAUCCAUUUAGUUUUUUCAAAGCUUUAUUAUUAUUUUUUUCUGUCUUCAGAAUUCAUUUGUGACCAGAUUUUGAAUUAGUUUCUAGAUAAUUUCUGGGUUCACAGAGAGUAAACCCAUUACAGGCCUAAUGGAAGUCAGAUGCUAUACACUAAAGUGGUGUGAAAUUGAUUUUAUAGACUUCUUUAAAAUAUUUCUAAACAAGGAGACUGGAACAGAGUUGUUGGACAUUGGCAUGCCUUUGAUUUAGUCCAAAUUGCCAAUAUUCUUUUAAAUGGCAGCACAGGCUGCACUCAAAUGCUCCCAUAUGUAUCUGAUUUCUGUUUAAACCUAUUAGCAACUGAUUUUGCUGUGAGUUGCCUCAAGCCAUGCAACCCUAUCAGAGGACAUCAUCACUGAUGUUUCUUACAGUACAGUGGUAAGUAUUAUAAAUUGUCUAGCAUGGUCUUAGUUGGAAAUGAUUAUUUGAAACAAACUGGUGACCAGGAGAUGCUGGCUCAGUCAUAUUGGUGAAUGGAUAGAUGAGAUGAAUUAAUUGACUGAUGUUUUGGGUCUCCAGCAUUCGUUUUUUCCACUAACUUACAGUGGGGGGAAAUAAGUAUUGAUCUUUUUUUUUUCAGUAAAUAUAUUUCCAAUGAGGCUAUUCACAUGAAAUUUUCAUCAGACAUCAGUAUUAAUUCAAGAAAUCCUCAAAUACAAAGAAAUCAUUACAUUAAAGUCCAUAAAUAAAGUUAUGUGGUGUAAUAUUUGGUAAUAUAUUACACCACAAUAUAUAAUAUAUGGUGCUUGAAAAUUUGUGAACACUUUAGAAUUUUCUCCGGAUUCUAAUCUCACCUUCAAAUUAACUGUUAAUCCUAGAGGUUCACAUAGUUUUUCUACCCACAGAUAUGUAAUGUUGGCUCGUUAUCCUCAAUAAAUAAAUAUUCAAUAAUAUUUUUGUCUCAUUUGUUUAAUUGGUUCUCUUUAUCUACUUUUAGGGCUUGUGUGAAAAUUUGAUGAUCUUUUAGGUCACAUUUAUUCAGAAAUAUAGAAAUUUCGAAAGGUUUCACAAACUUUCAAGUACCACUGUAUAUAUAAAUCCACAUGUCUAAGUGUGAACAAUGAAAGCUUUAAAAAUAGAUUACAUAGCCUACCAGCCUGACCUACUUAUUUACCAUGUUGCACAGUCCUAGCAAUAUUACACAGCACAUAGAUGAUUGCACAGUUUCCUGAACCUCGCUGUUUAAAACCUUAAUUGAAGCUGGCACAAAUAAGUUCUUAGCAGCUUAGUGAAUCCUUACUUUUCUGGUGCUGCAGAAUUUUACUGCCCACAGAAAGGUGAAUCACCUUAUACCUCUCAAUAGCCAAUGACUUAAUAGCUAAAGUGGCCAUCAAGGUGAGCAAGAAGGACCUUCAUCCAACUUUUUCCAUUUACUUUUCUUCAAAGUGUGCUCUGAGUCAGGCUCUAAGCUGCAGUUAAAAAACAAAACAAAACAAAACAUUAAUUCCAACUGUUGUGCCAGGAACCGCACCAAGUUUAACAACACGCACAUGCACUGUAUGAAAGUAGAAGCAAUAUUAAAACGUCUGAACAUAUGCCCAAUGUAUGGCUAUUGCCGCAGGGUUAGGAUUAGGUUAUGGUUAGGUAACAAAAUGGUUUGUUACUAAACAUUUUACCUUAAAACAAUUAUUUGCAGCAGGAAAUGUCAUCUGCUUUCAUCUUUAUCAGAAUUUGGCUACUUUUCAUCAGCCUGUUGUUCAGUAUUUCUUUGUCACUCAUUGAUUGAUCUAAUAACACAACCCUUCCUGUCCAUAUUCUUUUGAGGGGAGGUUGCAGGCAGGGCCUCUUUUUUUUUUGAAGGUUUUUACUUAUUUUUUAUCAAAAAUAUAUCAAAAACAACCCCACUCCCCACCUAUCCCUCAAUCCUUG